AUGCACGCUGGCGGCGUGCCUAAUCCAUGCAAGUCGCGCGAACGGACGAGAAGCUUGCUUCUCUGAUGUUAGCGGCGGACGGGUGAGUAACACGUGGAUAACCUACCUAUAAGACUGGGAUAACUUCGGGAAACCGGAGCUAAUACCGGAUAAUAUUUUGAACCGCAUGGUUCAAAAGUGAAAGACGGUCUUGCUGUCACUUAUAGAUGGAUCCGCGCUGCAUUAGCUAGUUGGUAAGGUAACGGCUUACCAAGGCAACGAUGCAUAGCCGACCUGAGAGGGUGAUCGGCCACACUGGAACUGAGACACGGUCCAGACUCCUACUGGAGGCAGCAGUAGGGAAUCUUCCGCAAUGGGCGAAAGCCUGACGGAGCAACGCCGCGUGAGUGAUGAAGGUCUUCGGAUCGUAAAACUCUGUUAUUAGGGAAGAACAUAUGUGUAAGUAACUGUGCACAUCUUGACGGUACCUAAUCAGAAAGCCACGGCUAACUACGUG
rnacentral:rRNA from 1 species